rnacentral:rRNA from 1 species
GUGAGGAAUUUUCCGCAAUGGGCGAAAGCCUGACGGAGCAAUGCCGCGUGAAGGAUGAAGGCCUAUGGGUUGUAAACUUCUUUUCUCAGAAAAGAAUUAUGACGGUAUCUGAGGAAUAAGCAUCGGCUAACUCUGUGCCAGCAGCCGCGGUAAGACAGAGGAUGCAAGCGUUAUCCGGAAUGAUUGGGCGUAAAGCGUCUGUAGGUUGUUUAAAAAGUAUUCUGUCAAAGAUUAGGGCUUAACCCUAGAUAGGCAGAAUAAACUUUUAAGCUAGAGUUUGGUAGAGGCAGAGGGAAUUCCCGGUGGAGCGGUGAAAUGCGUAGAUAUCGGGAGGAACACCAAAGGCGAAGGCACUCUGCUGGGCCAAUACUAACACUGAGAGACGAAAGCGAGGGGAGCAAAUGGGAUCAGAUACCCGUGUAGUCC